rnacentral:snRNA from 1 species
AAGAGAUGGAGAUGCAAA